UACAUGGGGUGCAAACGUUGCUCGGAAUUAUUGGGCGUAAAGGGCUCGUAGGCGGUUUGUCGCGUCGGGAGUGAAAACCAGGUGCUUAACACCUGGCUUGCUUUCGAUACGGGCAGACUAGAGGUAUGCAGGGGAGAACGGAAUUCCUGGUGUAGCGGUGAAAUGCGCAGAUAUCAGGAGGAACACCGGUGGCGAAGGCGGUUCUCUGGGCAUGACCUGACGCUGAGGAGCGAAAGUGUGGGGAGCGAACAGG
rnacentral:rRNA from 1 species